rnacentral:rRNA from 1 species
UACGAAGGGGGGCUAGCGUUGCUCGGAAUCACUGGGCGUAAAGCGCACGUAGGCGGCUUUCUAAGUCAGGGGUGAAAUCCUGGAGCUCAACUCCAGAACUGCCUUUGAUACUGGGAAGCUCGAGUCCGGAAGAGGUGAGUGGAACUCCGAGUGUAGAGGUGAAAUUCGUAGAUAUUCGGAAGAACACCAGUGGCGAAGGCGGCUCACUGGUCCGGUACUGACGCUGAGGUGCGAAAGCGUGGGGAGCAAACAGG